rnacentral:sRNA from 1 species
GCCAGGUAUGGUGGCAUACACCUGUAAUCCCAGCAGCUUGGGAGGCUGAGGCAGGAGGAUAGCAAGGUCAGGGCCAGCCUCAGUAACUUAGUGAGACCCUAAGCAACUUAAGAGAGGCCCUGUCCCCAAAUAAGGGCUGGGGAUGUGGCUCAGUGGUCCUGUGCCCCCAGCUUCAC